rnacentral:rRNA from 1 species
GAUGAACGCUGGCGGCGUGCCUAAUACAUGCAAGUCGAGCGAACAGACGAGGAGCUUGCUCCUCUGACGUUAGCGGCGGACGGGUGAGUAACACGUGGAUAACCUACCUAUAAGACUGGGAUAACUUCGGGAAACCGGAUCUAAUACCGGAUAAUAUAUUGAACCGCAUGGUUCAAUAGUGAAAGACGGUUUUGCUGUCACUUAUAGAUGGAUCCGCGCCGCAUUAGCUAGUUGGUAAGGUAACGGCUUACCAAGGCAACGAUGCGUAGCCGACCUGAGAGGGUGAUCGGCCACACUGGAACUGAGACACGGUCCAGACUCCUACGGGAGGCAGCAGUAGGGAAUCUUGCGCAAUGGGCGAAAGCCUGACGGAGCAACGCCGCGUGAGUGAUGAAGGUCUUCGGAUCGUAAAACUCUGUAAUUAGGGAAGAACGAAUGUGUGAGUAACUAUGCACGUCUUGACGGUACCUAAUCAGAAAGCCACGGCUAACUACGUG